GGGCCUCUAGCUCAAUUGGCAGAGCAACGGACUUUUAAUCCGUGGGUUCAGGGUUCGAGCCCCUGGGGGCCUACCA
rnacentral:tRNA from 2 species